UACGUAGGUGGCAAGCGUUAUCCGGAAUUAUUGGGCGUAAAGCGCGCUCAGGCGGUUUCUUAAGUCUGAUGUGAAAGCCCACGGCUCAACCGUGGAGGGUCAUUGGAAACUGGGGAACUUGAGUGCAGAAGAGAAAAGCGGAAUUCCACGUGUAGCGGUGAAAUGCGUAGAGAUGUGGAGGAACACCAGUGGCGAAGGCGGCUUUUUGGUCUGUAACUGACGCUGAGGCGCGAAAGCGUGGGGAGCAAACAGG
rnacentral:rRNA from 1 species